rnacentral:lncRNA from 1 species
GUGGGGUGGGGAGAGGGGGGAGGGACAGCAUUAGGAGAUAUACCUAAUGUAAACGACAAGUUAAUGGGUACAGCACACCAACAUGGCACAUGUAUACAUAUGUAACAAACCUGCACGUUGUGCACAUGUACCCUAGAACUUAAAGUAUAAUAAUAAAAAAAAAGAAAACAGACCCCCUUUUCACCAAAGCCGGCCAUAAAACCUGAAAAUAGUACUCUAACCCCUUCCCUCCUUUCUGUGUAAAAACUAGACUUAAAUAAAUUAUCUGACCUGCUUGAUUGCAGGUCAUAAGAUCCUCAUUCCAGAGAAGGUCCUGCCCCACACCCAGAAGGAAGGAACGCUGCUCAGAGAGGCCAAGAAGAAUCUAGACAGACAGUCCUUGCUGGUUUUCGCCACUUAGUCUAGUAGCAUUAGGUCAUAGCCUUUCUGUUCCAUCCUCUUUCUACACAGCUGUCCAUACUUCCUUAACCUACACAUAAAAUGGAUAGUUCCCCCUAUAUCCUUAGGUCUUCAUGCUGAAGUUCCCCACGUCAUAUAAAACUAUGAUUUAAUAAACCUGUAUGCUUUUCCCCCUAUUAAUCUGCCUUUGAUCAGUUGAUUUUCAGCAAACCCUCAGUGAAGGGGAAGUUUUUCCUUUGAGUCGACAAAAAAAAAAAAAAAAAAGGGAAUGUCCACCUGACUAUAUACAUUGAAGUUCUUUGUUGCCACCCCUUGAGAAUUCCUGUACCAAUGUAUAAUGUACAAAUAACAUGAUUUAUUCCUACUCUGGUGGCAGCAGCACAAAGAUGGACUAGUUAGACAUUUCCCCUCGUUCCAUGGAAUGAGCAUAUUUGGUCAAGCCUGGGUUUUUUCACAGACUAAGAGAUAGAAACUCUUGAAUUACUUGCAAUAAUAAAAGCCUGUGUCUUUGCCUAGAAAAUCCUAAAUAACCACUACCAGACAGCUCUUCACCUAGAUUACUACUUGUUAAAAUUCUGACCUGAGAUGGAUGUUCCCCAUAUCCCUAGGUAG